UACAGAGGUCCCGAGCGUUGUUCGGAUUCAUUGGGCGUAAAGGGUGCGUAGGCGGCGGGGCAAGUCUGAUGUGAAAUCCCGGGGCUCAACCCCGGAACUGCAUUGGAUACUGCCUUGCUAGAGUACUGGAGAGGGAACUGGAAUUUACGGCGUAGCAGUGAAAUGCGUAGAGAUCGUAAGGAAGGCCAGUGGCGAAGGCGAGUUCCUGGACAGUUACUGACGCUGAGGCACGAAGGCCAGGGGAGCAAACGGGG
rnacentral:rRNA from 1 species